CCCGCUCAGAAACUACAAAUGAAUUGACGGGGCCCGCACAAGCGGUGGAGUAUGUGGUUUAAUUCGAUGCAACGCGAAGAACCUUACCUGGUCUUGACAUCCCGGAGACCCUUAGGAAACUAGGGGUGCUUCCAUCUGGAAGAAUCUGGAGACAGGUGCUGCAUGGCUGUCGUCAGCUCGUGUCGUGAGAUGUUGGGUUAAGUCCCGCAACGAGCGCAACCCUUGCCUUUAGUUGCCAGCAGUUCGGCUGGGCACUCUAAAGGGACUGCCGGUGUUAAACCGGAGGAAGGUGGGGAUGACGUCAAGUCCUCAUGGCCUUUAUGACCAGGGCUACACACGUACUACAAUGGCCGAUACAAAGGGCAGCGACACUGCGAGGUGAAGCCAAUCCCGUAAAAUCGGUCUCAGUCCGGAUUGGAGUCUGCAACUCGACUCCAUGAAGUUGGAAUCGCUAGUAAUCGUGGAUCAGCAUGCCACGGUGAAUACGUUCCCGGGCCUU
rnacentral:rRNA from 1 species